GGCCUCAUCGGCCGGAAGGGAUUCCUUCCGGUCGAUGAGGCUGUUCCACCUCAUCGAUCAGAAGGAAUUCCUUCCGGUCAAUGGGGUU
rnacentral:miRNA from 1 species